rnacentral:snoRNA from 20 species
AACAUCAGUAGUGGUUAAUACUAUCUUUUGAUAAUAUUAAUUUCAUUAUACCAUAGAAACCUAAAGAUUGAAUAAUUUUUGUUCUUCAUGUUAUACAACUUGGGCAAUGAAGAGCUUGCUCUUUUGCGUCCAUUUUGUUUAAUAAGUUAAUACUGGAACAAGAAUAAUUUAAAUCAUUUCAUACAACCCAUAGCUGAAUGAAUUUUGACCACUCCUAAACAAAGUAGCUACAAUUUUCAUUUCGUUUUCCGGUUUUCUUAGAUCAAAUAUUAUUUUUGAAGAAGGUUUCCCUGAUUACAAAUCAGGGAAAGGUUCGCGUUUUAGAGAAUUGCAUAAUGCAUUU